rnacentral:rRNA from 1 species
AGACAACGUACAAACCUUAUCGAUAAACAAUUGGAGGGCAAGUCUGGUGCCAGCAGCCGCGGUAAUUCCAGCUCCAAUAGCGUAUAUUAACGUUGUUGCAGUUAAAAAGCUCGUAGUUGAAAUGAAGGGUAGUUGUGUAAUGAAUACAUUCGUGUAUUUUGUUAUUCAAGUAUCCUCCUUCUAAAUUCGAUAUAUGAGUAUUAAUUUACUUGUAUAUGGUUUUAGACAUUUACUGUGAGAAAAUUAGAGUGUUCAAAGCAGGCAUUUGCUUGAAUAUAUUAGCAUGGAAUAAUCAUGUAUGAUUUUCAUGAUGUAUUUGAUUGGUUUGGUUGAUGAGAAUAAGAUUAAAAGGGACAGUUGGGGGUAUUCAUAUUCAAUAGUCAGAGGUGAAAUUCUCGGAUUUAUGGAAGAUGAAC